ACUUUGCGGAUAUCAGGGCAUACUUUUCCACAACAAAAUGGAACCGCCUCUGUAUGGCAGAGAAAAAAAGAUUCCUGCAGAUCAAGGAAAACCAUUUGGUUAUGUCGUCUCUUGUGUGUGUGUGUGUGUGUGUCAGGCCUGUCCUUUGUGGCUCCAGCCUUCAUGAGGAGAGAGAAGCCCGGCCAGGUGAGAGUCUGCUCACCUGAAGAGACAGACUCUGAGGAGGAGCAGCUCUGGACCUCUGGAUUGACCGGUGCUCGAGUGUGGAAGCCACCAACAGUCAGACAGGGGUCUCUACAACAGCCCAGUACGUCAGAUGCAGUGUCUGUACAGAGUCUCUCAGGGCGGGGCUGGAGUGACCAGGAGGUCUAUGGAGGGACCACUCCUUCUCAUCCAGAGAUCGACCGCCCC